rnacentral:rRNA from 1 species
AGGACGAACGCUGGCGGCACGCUUAACACAUGCAAGUCGAACGAGCGAAAGGUGCUUGCACCUCUAGCUAGUGGCGGACGGGUGAGUAACACGUGAGCAAUCUGCCUUUCGGUGGGGGAUACCAAUUGGAAACGAUUGUUAAUACCCCAUAACAUAACGAAGCCGCAUGACUUUGUUAUCAAAGAUUUAUUGCCGGAAGAUGAGCUCGCGUCUGAUUAGGUAGUUGGUGAGGUAACGGCUCACCAAGCCGACGAUCAGUAGCCGGACUGAGAGGUUGAACGGCCACAUUGGGACUGAGACACGGCCCAGACUCCUACGGGAGGCAGCAGUGGGGAAUAUUGCACAAUGGGCGAAAGCCUGAAUGCAGCGAUGCCGCGUGAGGGAAGAAGGUUUUAGGAUUGUAAACCUCUGUCUUUGGGGACGAUAAUGACGGCACCCAAGGAGGGAGCUCCGGCUAACUACGUGCCAGCCGCUGC